rnacentral:rRNA from 1 species
CUACACAUGCAGUCGAGCGAUGAAGUUCCUUCGGGAAUGGAUUAGCGGCGGACGGGUGAGUAACACGUGGGUAACCUGCCUCAAAGUGGGGGAUAGCCCUCCGAAAGGAGGAUUAAUACCGCAUAAAGUUAAGCUUCCGCAUGGGAGCAUAACCAAAGGAGCAAUCCGCUUUGAGAUGGACCCGCGGUGCAUUAGCUAGUUGGUGAGGUAACGGCUCACCAAGGCCACGAUGCAUAGCCGACCUGAGAGGGUGAUCGGCCACAUUGGAACUGAGAUACGGUCCAGACUCCUACGGGAGGCAGCAGUGGGGAAUAUUGCGCAAUGGGGGAAACCCUGACGCAGCAACGCCGCGUGGGUGAUGAAGGUCUUCGGAUUGUAAAACCCUGUCUUCUGGGACGAUAAUGACGGUACCAGAGGAGGAAGCCACGGCUAACUACGUGCCAGCAGCCGCGGUAAUACGUAGGUGGCGAGCGUUGUCCGGAUUUACUGGGCGUAAAGGAUGCGUAGGCGGAUAUUUAAGUCAGAUGUGAAAUACCCGAGCUUAACUUGGGUGCUGCAUUUGAAACUGGGUAUCUAGAGUGCAGGAGAGGUAAGUGGAAUUCCUAGUGUAGCGGUGAAAUGCGUAGAGAUUAGGAAGAACACCAGUGGCGAAGGCGACUUACUGGACUGUAACUGACGCUGAGGCAUGAAAGCGUGGGUAGCAAACAGGAUUAGAUACCCUGGUAGUCCACGCCGUAAA